ensembl:lincRNA
UUUCAGAUUCAGGAAUAUCUUGGCUUGGAGAUAAAUUGUGUGGUCAUGCUAAUCAUGACUAAAAGAAGUCACAAAAUUCAGUGAUUACUGUAAAUAAAGCUGUGAAUAAGAUUGGUUACAUUUUCCAGUGAAUUCAGUGACAAACGUUGAGAGCCUCCCUAUCUGUUGCCAUAAAGAAAAGAUGGUUAACAAUUGAUGUCAUUAAUUUUAAAAAGGCUUUUUUUUUUUUUUUUGAAAGACAACUACUCCAUCUGGAAUUUUGUCAUUGCCUUUACCAAGUUUCCUGGUCUACCGGUAACUCUUGCUCAAACAACAACAACAAAAUUUGCUAUAUUUGAUGACUGCAUAUUGGUGUUGUUAUGGCUUCUCUGUCCUAUUGGUGCCACCAGCCAAGUGAUAGGAAGAGGGAGAGGAGAAAAGCACUAUGUAAUAUCAGGUAAGUUCUGCCCGCCCCCGCCCCGCCCCGCGAAGUUACCAGUCUCCAACGGGAAGACGUAAAUGAAUAAUGCAGUUGAAGGUAAGAAUCACUAAGUGCCAGAGAAUCUCUGUGAGUGGGAGGCGGAGAGCACAGGGACUGGGGUGGGGCGGCGGUGCAGUGAGGCUUGAGGGAGGAGAGGCAGACAUUCGAAUUUAGGACUUCCUCCCAGUUCCGGGUUAACUCUGGCCUCAGACGGAGUCCAUGAAAGUAAAAGGGCCCUCUGUCAGUCGCCGAAACUGUGCACAGGCUUUUUUUUUUUUUUUAAAGAGCUGGCUAACAACUUUCCCUUCACGAUUGAUGACUAAUUCAAAUGAGCAUUAACUCUCUUCGCAAAGAUGAGUAUUACAAUACAGUAAUAUAGAACGCUAAACGCUACCAGUUUUUUAUGAUUCAUUUUCGUUGCGAAGUGGACAUAUUGCCACAGCGUUAAAAGAGAAGUGAGUUACAGACAUAGACUUGUGGUUGCCCAGGUGUGAGGAGGUGGAAGAGGGAUAGAUCGGGAGUUUGGGAUUAGCAGAUGCAAACUCUUAUACAUAGAAUGGGUAAGCGAGAGUCUACUGCACAGCACAGGGAACUAUAUUCAACGUCCUGGGAUUAACUAUAGUGGAAAAGAAUAUGAAAAAGGAUGUACGCACAUUCAUAACUGAAUCACUUCGGUGUACAGUAGAAACUGCGUACAUGUGCCUGCUCAGUAAUGUCCGACUCUUUGCAACCCCAUGGACUGUACCCAGCGAGGCUCCUCUGUCCAUGGAAUUUUUCAGGCAAGAAUACUGGAGUGGGUUGCCAUUUACUCCUCCAGAGAAUCUUCCCCACCCAGGAAUCGAACCAGAGUCUCCUGUGUCUCCUGUAUUGGUAGGCACGUUCUUUACCAUGGCACCACACAGCAGAAAUUAACACAUGGUAGAUCAACCAUACUUCAAUAAAUUUACAGAAGAGCAGUGGCUUAAAUUGCCACAAUGUCAUCCAAGAUAUAAAUAAAACAAUUUUCCCUAAAGAAAUGUAAAAGGAGGAGGUCUGGAUCACAGAGCAAUAUUGACGCAAAGCACUUAAACACGGAGAUCUGAAAUUUAGUUUUUGACUUUAUUAUUUUUCAUUGUCUUGCUGCUCACAGCCAGACAAACUGAACCGGUACUAAAUAGGACCUUGGCCUCCCCCAAGCCCAACGGGCUCUCCAGGAUGCACGCGCAUCUACAGUGCGCCCCCUGAAAAGGAAAGUCGGCUGGGACCACUCCGGGUGAGCGAAAGCAGGUUUCCAGGGCGAAAGUAACCGGAGUCGGCCGACCCGGGCGGCCCCGCCCCCUCCCACGAGUUUCGCCGGGUGUCCGGCCCCGCCCCCUCUUUUAUUCCGCGCGCGCCACCGGGAGCUGGAACUUUGUAACCCGAGCGCGCGGGCUCUGCGCUCCUCCCCGCCCCGGUGCGGCGCUCCCGGGAGGAGCAGGAGGUGGGACCUGCGGGCGGGAAGGCUCGGGACGCCGGCGCACGAGGAUCGGGGACCCCGCAGAGCUCAGCCGCCCAGAGGAGGAGCUGGACUGGGAGCCGAG